AAUACACCGUUAAAAGUUAUACAUUUAAAGAACACGAUAGACAUUAAAUAGAAGACAUUAAAUGAAUGUAUUUUUAUUAAAAUCUAAAGUGAGCGGGUGAAACUAAAUAUUUAUCAACAUAUUUUUUGUGUAUUUAAGGUUGGGAAAUUUGUCAUAUCAAUGAAAUACAGCAAUAUCAGCAUGCGUCGUGAUAAACAUAACCUGUGAUGUAUAUACAUAAUAUUUUUCAAAAUAUAAUUAAUUAGAAAAUUAAUAAGCGAUUAAAAUGUUAUACAUGAGUUACGUGCAUUACCUAACCCCAUCGUCCGUCACUUUGGGAAAGAUAAGAGAGGAUUUUUUUUAGUACGAAAAGAGGUAUAAAAAUGGACUGGUAGAGAAUUGCAUUUAGCAAUCCAUUAAGAUUCUGCAUUAUACUCGAAUGCAACUACAAAAUAGAAUGUAUGGAAAAGAAUGAAAAAGAAAAUGUAAAACAAUUUAAUGUCGUGCUAUCAGAGGUUAUCAAACUAUUACACUAUAAAAAUAACUAAUUUGACAUAUCCCUAAAAACGUCCAUACAUACUACUUCU